CAGGCCAACCCUUUCUACGACCGCUACCGCGACAAGAUCCAGCAGCUGCGCAGGUCAGACCCAGCUGCUUUUGAGUCCCGCCUGGAGAAACGCAGUGAAUUUCGGAAGCAGCCAGUGGGGCAUUCCAGGCAAGGUGAUUUUAUCAAAUGUGUGGAACAGAAGACAAAUGCCUUGGGGAAACAGUCUGUGAACAGAGGAUUCACUAAGGACAAGACUCUCAGUUCAAUCUUUAACAUUGAGAUGGUAAAAGAAAAAACUGCAGAAGAAAUAAAACAGAUUUGGCAGCAAUAUUUUGCAGCAAAAGAUACAGUCUACGCAGUUAUUCCUGCAGAAAAGUUUGAUUUGAUCUGGAACCGGGCUCAGUCCUGUCCAACAGUAAGUUUCUGGUGAUCAUGUAAGGGUUGCUUAUCAAUGUUGCCAAACAAGUAUUUUCCAGCCAAUCACGUCAUAUUCCAUACUGUCUCACAUGUUAUAGUGCUCUGUUUACUUAAUAAAGAUGUUCACAUGUUGAUU
rnacentral:sRNA from 1 species